ACGUUUCAGCAGCAUAUAUACCAAAACAGAAAUGAUACAGAGAAAAUUAGUAUGUCCUCUGUACAAGGAUGACACAGAAAUUCGUGAAGCAUUCCAAAUUUUU
ensembl:snRNA U6 U6 spliceosomal RNA